GAUGAACGCUGGCGGCGUGCUUAACACAUGCAAGUCGAACGAAGCAUUUAGAACAGAUUCUUCCGGUUUAGAGUUCAUUAUGACUGAGUCACGGACGGGUGAGUAACGCGUGGGUAACCUGCCUUGUACUGGGGGAUAGCAGCUGGAGACGGCUGGUAAUACCGCAUAAGCGCACAAUGUUGCAUGACUUGGUGUGGAAAACUCCGGUGGUAUAAGAUGGACCCGCGUCGGAUUAGCUAGUUGGUGAGAUCACAGCCAACCAAGGCGACGAUCAGUAGCCGAGCUGAGAGGGUGCCCGACCACGUCGGAGCUAAGACACAGCCCAGACUCGGACGGGAGGGAGCAGAGGAGAACAUAGCACGAGAGAGGAAACUGUGAUGCCGCGGCGCCGGGGAAGUGGAGCUGUAAUUCGUUAUGUACAGCCCGAUCAGCAGAGGAGAUAGUGACGGUACCUGAAGAAGAAGCUCCGGCUAACUACGUG
rnacentral:rRNA from 1 species